AAAAGUGAAAGACGGUCUUGCUGUCACUUAUAGAUGGAUCCGCGCUGCAUUAGCUAGUUGGUAAGGUAACGGCUUACCAAGGCAACGAUGCAUAGCCGACCUGAGAGGGUGAUCGGCCACACUGGAACUGAGACACGGUCCAGACUCCUACGGGAGGCAGCAGUAGGGAAUCUUCCGCAAUGGGCGAAAGCCUGACGGAGCAACGCCGCGUGAGUGAUGAAGGUCUUCGGAUCGUAAAACUCUGUUAUUAGGGAAGAACAUAUGUGUAAGUAACUGUGCACAUCUUGACGGUACCUAAUCAGAAAGCCACGGCUAACUACGUGCCAGCAGCCGCGGUAAUACGUAGGUGGCAAGCGUUAUCCGGAAUUAUUGGGCGUAAAGCGCGCGUAGGCGGUUUUUUAAGUCUGAUGUGAAAGCCCACGGCUCAACCGUGGAGGGUCAUUGGAAACUGGAAAACUUGAGUGCAGAAGAGGAAAGUGGAAUUCCAUGUGUAGCGGUGAAAUGCGCAGAGAUAUGGAGGAACACCAGUGGCGAAGGCGACUUUCUGGUCUGUAACUGACGCUGAUGUGCGAAAGCGUGGGGAUCAAACAGGAUUAGAUACCCUGGUAGUCCACGCCGUAA
rnacentral:rRNA from 1 species